CCAGUCAGGGAGCUCCUUCCACUUCUGGGCUUCUCUGGGCUUGGGGUUCCCCUAUUCCUUUCCUCGAUGGCAGCUUUGGCACUGCCUAAGCAUUUUGGACUGAGGUCUUUUGAACUUCAGAGGAUCAAGAGUGUUUGUGAGGACCUUAAUCUUCAAGGACAAUGGCUCGCGAUUAGGAGUCUCCCGAUUUCCUCAUGGGGCCUCUCCACGUCUGCAUUUCCCGGGAGGUGUUUAUCACGCUUGCCUAGCUCAGGGACCUCUGCGUGACGGACAACGUGUUGCAGGCGUUUGACCAAUUGCUUAAGUUUUUACACUACCCU